UGAGCUCAAGAUCACAAAAUUGCGAUACAGUCACAGCUUGACAGUAUAUACCUGCCGACUAGAGUUAUUUUUAAUUGAGACACUAAAACUUUCAAAAUGUUACGUUCUUUACGGAUUAAGCUAAAGCUCUUAAAAUUGUGAUACAGUUACACCUUGGUAUUGGGUGAACCAUACGGGGCAGCUAGGCGACCGGGGCAUAUCGUAGAUUUUUUAUAUAAUAGAAGAUGAAAUUAUUCGAGAAUAUAUCGAACAAAUAAAGAGUCACACGAACGUAUACUUGUGAAAGUAAAAAAACUCAGUUCAACGUGAACAAAAUGCCAAUCAAAAGCAAUAGAAGCCUAAUAAAAUAAAAUAUGAAUAUUAGGACUAAUUUAAUGAUCCCAUUAUCGGUGCACUUUAUAAAAAAGGCCGGAACAUUGCCAAAACAUGUCGGUAUUGUUUUUUUUGUUUUAUUCAAUACAAAAUAUGAUGUCGUCCAUACCAUAUGGCAUUUAAUGUAUUUCAUUUCAUGCGUUACUAAGCCAUCAGGCCUAUAAACUAUCACACUAUGCAUAAGAAAUAAAUUUCUAACAUAAGUUAAAAAACCUACUCAACAUUUUUUUCUACCAAACGAAACACGUUCACUAUUAAUACCGUGUGGUUACUACUGUGGGGCAAGUGUUCAUUUGUAGGGCGUGCGAUGAAGAGGAAGUGUGAGAGUUGGAUUCGGGUUAUGUAGGGUAUAUUGCGGCAAACAAUCCACAAUAGCGUCAUUAUAUUCACCCAUUUCUACCAAAAGGUGGAAACAAAAGCACCAGGCUAUAGUCCGGCGCAGGAUACCUGGGAGCACAACACAGGUUGGAACAUUGAGAUCCGAUCUGUGUGGUGGUCCUCGCUGUCAUGCGAAGCUUACCUGCGAGCUCCAGGGCGCGUCCACAGGUUGUGGAUGGCGAAAUGCUUAAUACGGAGUAUCUGCAACGGCAGCUGCGGAAAAUCAGCGGUAGCGAGCGAAGAGUCUCAUAGAGGCCGGGCGGCUCCAUCUCUUCCAUAAAUUCGGAGAGCUUUCAAAUAACCAAUGACUAUCAUGUUCCCGCAGCGAUCGACCAUGCUGGAAACCAAACAACCGGAAAAAUGCCACAUCCUGGGCAGUGUUGCCGUUUUUGGUAGGUUCCUACCAAAAUUGGUAAAUUAUUACUCUCUUGGUAGGUUGGUUGGUAGGCUGACCUCUUUUUUUGCGUUUUCCUUGCCUCUGGCGUUUUUCACCCCGAGCAUACUAUUCAAGCGAUUUUGACCAGCCUCCAGUGAGAUACCCAGUAAAAAAAUCUCUCUAACUUCAAUCACCUUUACAACGACAUCCAUUUCUGAUUGCCAUAACAUCGCAUUGCCUAUACUUCAAUGUUGCAUAUGGCAAGUGGAACCCGGUACCUUUUCUUCUAUUUCUAUUUGGAUUAUUAUUGCAGUAUUGUGGUCUUUUGUCAAGCGAUGAAAUCUUGCAUGAAAAAUUAAAAUUUGAAAUCACAACACCGAAAAUUCCGAAUCCACAUGUUGCUCGUCGAAGGGUUCAGUCGAAA
rnacentral:sRNA from 1 species